rnacentral:lncRNA from 1 species
ACAAGUGGUAAGAAGCAAAUUCCCUGCUACCCCGCAGCAUGUGAAGGUAUCUUCCUCAGAGUUAAUGUCCAGGGCAAGAGUGAUUAAAAUGGUACGAAAUCAUUCGUGAUGCAGGCUAAUAGCAAAUUAAACCUUCUCUAUCAGGCCUAGCAAGCAACUAACCUUGUUUUUCAAGCCUGCCGGCAUUUAACACCCUAUAAAACUGUGUUAUUCUGGUCCAUAUAGGAUUUCCAUUUGUUGAGUGCAAGCAGUUGACUAGCAUGUCUCUGCACCUUCCUGAACAGCUACUACAUCUCUGGGAAUGCUUUGUGGGCCUGCCAGCUUCAGGAAAAUUCAGCAGCUGGAAGGGAAAAAUAUGAGACAUAUCUCACCCCUGAUAUUUAAACCCCUGGAGCCAGAGAAACUGUGGGCUGCAAUUCCCAGUCAUUUCUGUCCUUCAGCCAUCCAAUUCCAACACUGGGCACAGCACACAACACUGGCAAGACUCUGGUCUAGAAACCCAUCAGACUCAAACCUGCUAGAGGUGGUUGAAAUCUGCCUAGUUCUGUGAUGAAUUGGUUUUGAUUUGCCUGGAACACCUGAAGAAGGAAGGUUAGAAGGUGAAGAGGAUUCUGGGUGAAGGUGAUACCUCAGCAACUGGAGCCAGAUCAUGCACACAACUCUUUCAUCCAAACCCCAAAAUUCAGUUAUAUUUGCCUGUGGCUUUUGUGAAUAUGCAAUUUCCAUUAACAGUAUCUGCAUCACUCUAUUACUUUUGUGGAUAAGGCCUAAAAAGCACCAAAAAGAAACCACUGUUCUAUCUUUACUGGGUAUAAAGAUAGAACAUAUAUUGGCAGCUUUCCUUUCUUUCAAAUUCUCCAGUCACUUGUGCUAUUCCUAUUCUUAAAUUCUAGCCAUCAACAAAUAAAUUUGAGAAAGAAAUUGCA